CUAAUCAUGAGAAUGAGAUGAUAACAGUUUUUUGCUUUUGUUGUUCAAAGUUUUAGAGGAGGUUCACUAAAUCUAUGACUACACAACAAAGGGGAUAACCUUUUUCCAUUCCCUAGCUUGAUCUCCCAAGGCUUGAAGUAGAGACCAAGUUGUAAUAUCUAUAUUUUUAGGCUGAGUACCAAGCACUCGCUUCCAUACUGGUGGUAUUUACAAUUUUUCAUGAAGUCAGUCAAUGGUAAAUUGUGAGUUAUAUGUUUUCCCAAGACUUACUCAUGUGCGGAAGUUUCUGUUGCAUCCAGUUCAAGUCUUUAGUCUAUGAUGAGGUUUAGGUACACGGAAUGCAUGAUGACCUUGCCCUGACGGAUUCUCGGAUAUUCAACUUCAAACUGAAUUAUUUCCAUGAAUCCAUGCAUAUAGCUUUAGUAGAUGUUUUUUCAGGUAAAAGUUGGGUUCUAUUCCUUCUGUCAACA